rnacentral:rRNA from 1 species
UCGUGGAGUGAUCUGUCUGCUUAAUUGCGUAUCAAUAAUAGAGACCUAGUAUACGCGUCGUAGUUGUAUGGUAGUGACCCCCUCUUCACCGAGGCGCGUGUCGCACAUAUGCUCGUCGCACUGGUCUCAGAUAGCAACGAACGUGACCGUACUCUAUUGUUGUAGUGAAAUAGUACUUCGGUACGACCCACUGCUUAGUAUGCGCGUACUUUAUUGUG